CCUACGGGAGGCAGCAGUGAGGAAUAUUGGUCAAUGGACGAGAGUCUGAACCAGCCAAGUAGCGUGAAGGAUGACUGCCCUAUGGGUUGUAAACUUCUUUUAUAUGGGAAUAAAACGUUCCACGUGUGGGAUUUUGUAUGUACCAUAUGAAUAAGGAUCGGCUAACUCCGUGCCAGCAGCCGCGGUAAUACGGAGGAUCCGAGCGUUAUCCGGAUUUAUUGGGUUUAAAGGGAGCGUAGGCGGAUGGUGAAGUCAGUUGUGAAAGUUUGCGGUUCAACCGUACAAGUGCAGUGGAAACUGGCAGUCUUGAGUGCAGUGAAGGUGGGCGGAAGUCGUGGUGUAGCGGUGAAAUGCUUAGAUAUCACGAAGAACUCCGAUUGCGAAGGCAGUUCACUGGACUGCAACUGACACUGAGGCUCGAAAGUGUGGGUAUCGAACAGGAUUAGAUACCCUAGUAGUC
rnacentral:rRNA from 1 species